rnacentral:rRNA from 1 species
AUUGAACGCUGGCGGCAGGCUUAACACAUGCAAGUCGAGCGGGGUGAUGGUGCUUGCACUAUCACUUAGUGGCGGACGGGUGAGUAAUGCUGAGGAAUCUGCCUAUUAGUGGGGGACAACAUCUCGAAAGGGAUGCUAAUACCGCAUACGUCCUACGGGAGAAAGCAGGGGAUCACUUGUGACCUUGCGCUAAUAGAUGAGCCUAAGUUGGAUUAGCUAGUUGGUGGGGUAAAGGCCUACCAAGGCGACGAUCGUUAGCGGGUCGGAGAGGAUGAUCAGACACCCUGGGACUGAGACACGGCCCAAACUCCUACGGGAGGCAGCAGUGGGGAAUAUUGGACAAUGUGGGGAACCCUGAUCCAGCCAUGCCGCGUGUGUGAAGAAGGCCUUAUGGUUGUAAAGCACUUUAAGCGAGGAGGAGGCUCUUUUGGUUAAUACCCAAGAUGAGUGGACGUUACUCGCAGAAUAAGCACCGGCUAACUCUGUGCCAGCCGCCGCCGUAA